rnacentral:rRNA from 1 species
CCGUAGGGGGGACCUGCGGAGGGAUCAUUACCGAGUUUACAACUCCCAAACCCCUGUGAACAUACCUUAAUGUUGCCUCGGCGGAUCAGCCCGCGCCCCGUAAAACGGGACGGCCCGCCAGAGGACCCAAACUCUAAUGUUUCUUAUUGUAACUUCUGAGUAAAACAAACAAAUAAAUCAAAACUUUCAACAACGGAUCUCUUGGUUCUGGCAUCGAUGAAGAACGCAGCAAAAUGCGAUAAGUAAUGUGAAUUGCAGAAUUCAGUGAAUCAUCGAAUCUUUGAACGCACAUUGCGCCCGCUGGUAUUCCGGCGGGCAUGCCUGUUCGAGCGUCAUUUCAACCCUCAAGCCCCCGGGUUUGGUGUUGGGGAUCGGCUCUGCCCUUCUGGGCGGUGCCGCCCCCGAAAUACAUUGGCGGUCUCGCUGCAGCCUCCAUUGCGUAGUAGCUAACACCUCGCAACUGGAACGCGGCGCGGCCAUGCCGUAAAACCCCAACUUCUGAAUGUUGACCUCGGAUCAGGUAGGAAUACCCGCUGAACUUAAGCAUAUCAAU